CGGGGAUUGGCUCAGUUGGUAGAGCGCUCGCUUUGGGAGCGAGAGGUCGGCCGUUCGAAUCGGCCAUCCCCGA
rfam:Candidatus Blackburnbacteria bacterium RIFCSPHIGHO2_01_FTLL_43_15b rifcsphigho2_01_scaffold_7796, whole genome shotgun sequence.